CGACAGGGUGCUUGCACUUGCACGCUUUCCUCUUCUUCUCGGAUAGAAUCGGAUCCCGCAGCCCGCCGGGCUUCAGUAGCGAGCUCUGCCACUGCACGUCCCAUCUCCCGAGGGUUAUCUUCCUCCGAUACUGCUUUGCCAUCCCUCACUUUCUCGCCCAUGGUGUGCUCGCGGUGGCGCAGUUCAUACUUCAUAGGCUGUUAGGUACGAGAGGGGAGAGAGUUGAAGCGCCUGGGACCGGCGGCCGCCGCUGCGGGCCGGGCUAACCCCGUCUCCUUUCCCCAAAGGCGCUCGAGCUUCAGGCAGCUUCCAGGCCCAUGGAUGCAAAAGCUCUGGCCGACGGGAUAAUAUUCAAUAUUAUGGAGAACAAGUCACACCAUGUGAGUGAUGAGCCAAUGAAGAUGUCGUUCAAACUGUUACAAGAGAUUACAAAUAAUUUUGAUGAAGACAGAAGACUUGGCAAUGGUGCGUUUGGAGAAGUUUACAAGGGAGUGCUUGAUGGGAAAGACAUUGCCGUGAAGAAGCUCCGCGCCAUGCCAGGGAUUGAUGAGAAGCAAUUCGAAAAUGAAUUUGGGCACCUUAGGAGGCUCAAGCACCAAAAUAUCGUGCAAUUAGUGGGCUUCUGCAACGAAGAAGAGGAAGUUGUUGUAACUCAUGAAGGGAAAGAAGUACUCGCUUUAGAUAUACACAGGGCACUCUGCCUGGAGUUUGUGCCCAACGGAAGCCUUGGCAGCUGUCUUUCUGGACAAUGUCUUGGGCUUGAUUGGGAUGUACGCUUUAGAAUAAUUAAAGGCAUAUGCGAAGGUUUAAAAUACCUUCAUGAUGUUUCCGUUAUGCACUUUGAUCUAAAACCAGACAAUAUAUUACUAGAUGAGAAAAUGGUGCCGAAAAUAGCAGACUUCGGUUUAUCAAGGCUAGUGGGGAAAGAGAACACCAUAAUAACAAUGACUCCUCUAGGGACACUAGGAUUCUUGCCACCAGAGUUCAUAAACAAGCAAGUAAUCUCAAAAGAGUAUGACAUAUUUAGCUUGGGAGCUAUAAUUAGAAGGAUAUUGACUGGAGUAAUGGACAAGGAUAGUAUUCCUGACAUGGAUGAACGGGAAUCAUGUGAGCUGACGUUUUUGCUUUUGUUUUUAAAGGUACACAACUACUGGAAAGAAAAGUUAGAGGAGAUACCAGCUCAAUCACUUGAAGCAGUGUGUAAACAAGUAAGGAUUUGUAUUGAGAUUGCAGUUGACUGCAUGGAGACUGACCGACGCAAAAGGCCUAAGAUGAAGGAGAUUGUCCGUAGACUUAAAGAGGUAGAAACUAAGGAUAACCAGUCAUGCCCGCAGAUAAAUCAGUGGAAGCUGAGCGUUCAGAGUAUACCACAUAUUAAUACACAAGCGUCGGAGUCAAGCCUUCUGAGUACUUUACCCAAGAAACUAUCAUCAGAAUAUUUGAAAGCAAUUACGGAUGGAUUCUCUCUUGAGAGAAAGCUCGGUCAAGGUUCAUUUGGAACAAUGUAUAAGGGCAUUCUAGAAGAUGGGACAGAGAUUUCCGUGGAGAAGCUUGAGGAAAGUUCUUCAGUGAUACCUGAAAAAACAUUUCAAUCUGUGGUUGCCAAUAUAAUGGCGCACCGGCACGAAAAUAUAGUAAAGUUAGUUGGCUUCUGUUAUGAAACAGAGAAGAAGAUGGUGGAGCAAAAUGAGACACAUAUUCUUGCUGAUGUGGUAGUAGCACCUCUACUGUGCUUCGAGUAUGUGCCUAAUGGGAAUCUUGCCAAGUAUAUUUAUGGUGAAUCUUGUCAACUUGAUUGGAAUACACGUUUGAAAAUAAUCGUGGGCAUUUGCCAGGCGUUCAAAUGGAUGUGUUACAUUCCAAUUGUCCAUACGAAUCUUACGCCUAAAAAUAUUUUAUUGGAUAAUAAUAUGAGGCCAAAAAUUGCCGGUUUUGGUGUCUCUAGACUCUUCGAUGAAGGACUCCAGAGGAGCACAUGGGAUGUUGUGGGAGAAUUACAAUACAUCGCGCCAGAAUAUUUGCAAAAGGGAGAAAUCUCCAGCAGAGCGGACAUGUACAACUUAGGUGUUUUAAUUUUGGAGAUUGCUACAGGAGAGAAAAUUAGCCCUCAAAAUGAAGAGAACCUCUACUCUGCUACCUUAUAUGCCGACAAUGUACGUCAAAACUGGACAGAUGACGACAUAUCAUGGAAUUACCCAUCAUUGGAGACUUGUUGCAUUGAUGACAUAAAAACAUGCAUCAUGAUUGGACUGAUGUGUGUCGAGAUGAAUCCCCGGAGAAGACCUUGUAUAGUGGAUAUUGUCGACAAGCUGAGAUAUACUACAUCUGUAGGCGCAAUGCCGAAUAUGAUAUCCGGCUGCAUUAGCUUUCUCAGGGUGCAACCCCGGCGACUCUGCUUCCCAUGUGUGCCAAAAAGGUUGAACUCCUCCUCGUUGUACUUAACAAACAGCACAAAAUACCGUAUCGCCUUCAGUCUCCAGACGGAUAACCCAAGGAGGUACCAUACAAUGCUACCGUUUUGCGGUAUUGUGCCAUCAAAGUGCAGCUACACUCUCACUGUGACAAUGCGCGAGCAGAAGAAGAGAGCACUUUCCAACAAUGAGGAAUUUCUCACUCUGCAAAGUAGCAUAAUGCCUGCUCAAGACCUCAAGAAUGUAACCCCAGAUUCCGUUGCUGUGUUUUUUGAGGAAGUAAGAAUUAUGGGCGAUCAUGAGGUGCAAGAGGUAAAGAUACCGGUCGUGUGUAACCCACCAGACGUGACUGCCCCAGAUCAGGUACCGGUUGCGUGUAACCCACCAGACAAGGCUGCCCCAGAUCAGUCGAUCCGAUCAGCAGCAAUAGUGACAGAGAUCAUAGCUACUCAGAACUAUCGGCAGGUACUGUCCAUACAUGUUCAUUCAACAGAGCCAUGGAUCUUGACGACUAACAACAGGGGUAAUGUUUCCAUAUGGAAUUACCAUACGAAGACAACAGUCAACUCCUUUGAAGUGAAUAAUGCAGAUGAACCAGUAUAUUCGGCAAAAUUCAUUGAGCGGGAGAAAUGGCUAGUGGUUGGAGGUAGUGAUGGGUACAUCUAUGUGUACAGUUAUGAAUCUUAUGAUACAAUGGAAGUAGAGUGCUUCAAAGCUCAUGAUGGCUACCACAUCACGUCUUUGGCUGUGGAACCAACUCAUUCUUUAGUGCUGUCAACAUCUGCUGACCACAUGAUUAAGCUAUGGACCUGGGAGAAGGGCUGGGAAUGCAUUCAAACAUUUCUAGGGCACUACAACAAAGUCACACAAGUAAUGUUCGACCCCAGGGACAGCAAUAGAUUUGUAAGUGCGUCCUUGGACCGCACAGUCAAGAUCUGGGGCAUCGACUCUGCUACAUGCAACAUCACGUUGCAUGGGCAUACAGAUGGUGUUCUCUGUCUUCAGUACUUCUCCAGUGAUAAUCAGCAGUUUCUGAUGGCCGGCUCAUCAGAUGGUGCUGCCAAGAUCUGGGACCUAGCAACAGAAUGUCCUGUCAGUAUUAUAGAAGGAGAUGGAAACCAGCUCAAUGCUCUCUGUCUGCAUCCAGAACUGCCGCUAGUAAUUACUGGUUUACAAGAUGGGACCAUCCAAAUCAGGAAAUCCACUAGCACUGCAUAUAGGCUUGAGAACAUAACUGGGUUUAACCUCGGCGCAGUUAAAGCUCUUGAAUACAUAAAUGGGCCAAGAAGGAUUGUGGUCGGAUGUGACCAAGGAAUAGCAAUGAUGGAAGUUAAGGUGCCGUGAAUUUAGGAUGUACUGUAAGGUCAUAGAGCUCCACGAUGAGUUUGGUGGCUGGUGAGAAGUUCUGAAGAAUCGAACAGAUAUAGCACCUAAAGCUGCUACCUCAAGCAAAUUUCUGACUUUGGACAACAAAUUGUGCAGUGCGUCAUCACCGGUGUCAUUCUGUCCACCGCCAAGGAAGUAAAGGUGUUUGGAAGAAAGAUUACAAAAACGCCUUUGUAGUUGGAAGGGUAAAUUGUUGUCCCUCGGAGGGAGAUUGGUUCUCAUUAAUUCAGUACUGACAAAUAUGGUACUGUAUAUUUUAUCAUUCUUCCUGCUGCCGAAAGGAAUUCUGCAUAAACUCGAUUAUUAUGGAUCCUGA